CACAAGCAAUGGAUGAUGUGAUUAAUUCGAUGCAACGCGAAAACCUUACCUACCUUGACAUGUCUGGAACCUUGGUGAGAGCCGAGGGUGCCUUCAGAAGCCAGAACACAGGUGCUGCAUGGCUGUCGUCAGCUCGUGUCGUGAGAUGUUGGGUUAAGUCCCGCAACGAGCGCAACCCUUGUCACUAGUUGCCAUCAUUUAGUUGGGCACUCUAGUGAGACUGCCGGUGACAAACCGGAGGAAGGUGGGGAUGACGUCAAAUCAUCAUGCCCCUUAUGACCUGGGCUACACACGUGCUACAAUGGGCGGUACAAAGGGCUGCCAACCCGCGAGGGGGAGCCAAUCCCAUAAAGCCAGUCGUAGUCCGGAUCGCAGUCUGCAACUCGACUGCGUGAAGUCGGAAUCGCUAGUAAUCGUGGAUCAGCAUGCCACGGUGAAUACGUUCCCGGGUCUU
rnacentral:rRNA from 1 species